GCGCGGGGGAACGGGAGGCUGCAGGAUGGUCAAGCUGACGGCGGAGCUGAUCGAGCAGGCGGCGCAGUACACCAACGCGGUGCGCGACCGGGAGCUGGACCUCCGGGGGUGAUCUGGACCCUCUGGCAUCUCUUAAAUCGCUGACUUACCUAAGUAUCCUAAGAAAUCCGGUAACCAAUAAGAAGCAUUACAGAUUGUAUGUGAUUUAUAAAGUUCCGCAAGUCAGAGUACUGGAUUUCCAGAAAGUGAAACUAAAAUUUUAAUCCAGGUGCUGGUUUGCCAACUGACAAAAAGAAAGGUGGGCCAUCUCCAGGGGAUGUAGAAGCAAUCAAGAAUGCCAUAGCAAAUGCUUCAACUCUGGCUGAAGUGGAGAGGCUGAAGGGGUUGCUGCAGUCUGGUCAGAUCCCUGGCAGAGAACGCAGAUCGGGGCCCACUGAUGAUGGUGAAGAAGAGAUGGAAGAAGACACAGUCACAAACGGGUCCUGAGCAGUGAGGCAGAUGUAUAAUAAUAGGCCCUCUUGGAACAAGUCUUGCUUUUCGAACAUGGUAUAAUAGC
rnacentral:sRNA from 1 species